rnacentral:rRNA from 1 species
UACGAAGGGGGCGAGCGUUGUUCGGAUUUACUGGGCGUAAAGGGCGCGCAGGCGGUCUUGAAAGUCAGGCGUGAAAGCCCCGGGCUUAACCUGGGAAUUGCGCUUGAUACUCUGAGACUGGAGUACGGGAGAGGAGAGUGGAAUUCCCAGUGUAGAGGCGAAAUUCGUAGAUAUUGGGAAGAACACCAGUGGCGAAGGCGGCUCUCUGGACCGUAACUGACGCUGAGGCGCGAAAGCGUGGGGAGCAAACAGG